rnacentral:rRNA from 1 species
UACGUAGGGGGCUAGCGUUGUCCGGAUUUAUUGGGCGUAAAGGGUGCGUAGGCGGCGCGGUAAGUCGGGUGUGAAAUCUUGGAGCUUAACUCCGAAACUGCAUUCGAUACUGCCGUGCUUGAGGACUGGAGAGGAGACUGGAAUUUACGGUGUAGCGGUGAAAUGCGUAGAUAUCGUAAGGAGGACCAGUGGCGAAGGCGGGUCUCUGGACAGUUCCUGACGCUGAGGCACGAAGGCCAGGGGAGCAAACGGG